rnacentral:tRNA from 1 species
GCCCCUGUAGCGCAAUGGAUAGCGCAUUAGCCUCCGAAGCUAGUGGUACAGGUUCGACUCCUGUCAGGGGCA